rnacentral:snRNA from 1 species
AGAUGUGAGGGUGAUCGGUUUGUGACAUCUGCACCCCCCACUGAUUGUAGGGUUGAUUAGUCUGAUAUGGCUGGCUAGGAGGGUGUCCUCGUCCUCCUUCAUCACUCCAUGUGCACUAGGUCGAAGAGGAUGACCUUCCCCAAAGAGAGACGACUGGUCUUUGGUCAAGGGUAUACGAGUAGCUGCACUCCUCUGCUAGAACCUCCAACCCCCUCGUCUCUGUCUCUCCUAUCCAACCCCAAAUGCAUCAAAAGAUCUAAAUGUGCAUAUACUUGGCAACAGAACCACCAAACAUGU